AGGUCUGCACUCGGGAUCUGAACCCGCGAACCCCAGGCCACUGAAGCAGAGUGUGUGAACUUAACCACUGUGCCACCGCCCCAGCCCAACCAGUGACAUUUUUAAAAAAUGAGAUCAGAGUACAGUCUCUGUAAGGAUGUUGCCUAGACACGCAUCCUUUUAAAUCUUGCUUUUCAUGGGUUCCCUCCCUCAGCAAAUGGCAUUAUUCCCACCACUUGGGGCACCCAGACUGGAAACACAGCAGACAUUUCUGGCUUUCUAUAUAUGAUUUGUUCAUUACAAAAAUACUUACUAGGCACUCUCUUUGCGGCAAACAUGGUGCUAGAACCUGGGGUGCCAAGGUAAAUAAGGUCUACCGAACCCUCAUUUCAUGUCUGUCAUGGGGAAAAUGUCUGGAUCACUUAAUGUGAUUUACUAAAUUUCAUAAUCUCCAACCUUCUCUCCACUUCCUGUGCACCUUUUACUGCAGCCUUGAAGUGUGUGCUUGCUCUUCUCUGUGCCUUUGCUCACACCAUCCUUGCUGCCUGUGAUACCUCACCGCCACUCCCUACCCAGCCCCCAUCUACUUUGCCCAGCCUUAGGCUCCUUUUAAGAUUUGGUUCAAGUCCUGUCUCUGGGAAACGUCAGACUGCCCUAUGGCCAAGGGCAUAUUUAGAAGUAUAGAAUAGCAUGAUAGGAUAUGUAUCCAGAGUUUUACUUUAUGCUUCGAAGUGAAAAAAAUCUGGAUUCAAAAUUGCAUAUAUACUACCGUUCUCGUAUUAUAUUGUUGUUACAUGAACUAUAUACUAUUAAAAAGUAUAUAGAUAAAUUACCUGAAGGAAAUAUAAGGAAAUGUAAGUGGUUAAGUGACUUUUUCACAGCCAUACAGAUGGUAAAUUGCAGAGCUUAGGCUCAACCCAGGUCCUAUGGAUAAUACCAUUAUGGGUGAUUAAAAGGGUUUUUUUGUUUUUAAUACUUUUCAUGUUUUCUAUAAGGAGCAAGGAUUUUAUAAUCAGGAAAAAGUAUUUAUUAUAUUUACAUGUUUAGUUUUAUUCUAUUAACUAUAAAUAGCGUCUCAAUUCCCCGUUUUGUAAGAUGUGGGAUACACGCUGCCUUUUCCUUCUCUCCUUUUCCACCUCUCUGCCUUUGACAGUGUCAAGUCUGAUCAUCUUGAAUUCUGUUCUGUAACUAUAGUUACUCUUUUAUGCUUUCUUUAUUGAUUUGUUCUGAAAGUUGAAAAUAAACAACGUGAGUGUUAUGAUGACCAUGCAAAUGUUGUUCACUGCAGAUGUAAGUUGCUUGCUAUUCUAUUUCCUUUUUAGAGCAUUUUGUUUUUACAGAAGUUUGUAGUUACCUUUCUUUUCCCCUUGUACUGAUUGCUUUUAGCACAUCCUCAGCUAUUUUCAAAUUCUCCAUCCAAUUAGAUACUCUGUUGAGUCCCCUUUUCUUCCAGUAUAUUUCCCUUCCAGAGGCCUCUGCUCUCGUCUGUCCCUGUUCUUUUUGCCUACUGUUCUGUUACACUGGGCCCCGUUGUGUCCUGAUUUUCCUAUCUUCUUCUUUCUUCAUUUCCUCCCUCAUUUCACUGCAGUGCGUCUAAGUCAUUUGCCAAGAAAGAGUAUGUGAAAGGCAAAACUGAGUGCCUAUAUAUCUAAAACAACGUUCUCUGCUGUCUCAUUUGAUUUGGCAGUUUGACUGGCUCUGGAGUUCCAGGUUGAAAAAUUAUCCCCAGAAGUUUUUAGGCGUUGCUUCACUGACUUACACCAACUACUGUUGCUAAUGAGAUGUUGAUCCAGCCUGAUACUUCUUUCUUGGACAAUCAGCAAAUAAUAGUUACAUUACUGUAAUGUGUUCCCCCACCCCAUGCUUGGAAGCUUUUAAAGUCUCCUCUUUAUCCUUGGUGUACUCAAUUCCCUGGUGUAGCCAGUGGAAUUUUUCAAUCUAGCCACCUCAGGUACUUCUACUCUUGGAAAUUUUCCUGUGUUAUUUACAUGACAGUUCCCCCUUUCCAUGCUUUUUGUUUUUGCGCUUUGUGUAAUUCCUGUCAAUCAAAUGUUGGACCUUGUAGAUUAAUCCUCAACUAUUUUCUCUGUUGUUUGCAUUUCCUUGUCUUGUGCUGUUUUCUGGGAGAGUACGUUGAUUAUUUUUCAACCUUUUUAGUGAAUUUUUUGUUUAGGCAGUAAUUUAACUUCUAGGAGCCUUGUUUUCUGUUUGUUCUUUUUCUGUAGCAUGUUCUCGUUUUAGAGAUACCUCUCAAAUCUGAGUAUUCUAACUAGAAAGGUUUUCUUAAAAGUCUCUUCUGUCACCUGAAUUAUCUCAUCCUCUUCAUGCCUCUGUCCCUGGGUCCUUUUUUCUCUCUGUUUAUCUUCUUUGCUAUCAUUGGAGACUCCUCAAAUAGGAUGAUUCUUACUGAUACACACACAAAUACACAUAAAUAUAGCCGUGUGUGCAUCAAAAGCCCAGUUGAGACCUCUGUGUGUGGCAGUGGGAUUUGAUGGGUAAAAGUCUCCCUCUAGAGUGAGCAGUAGGGAGCAGGCUGUUUCCCUGCAGACCUCUAAAAGCCAGAAUGCAGACAUCUUUUGUCUGGGGCUCUUCGUUUCUCUAGCCAAAAGUCCUCUGAUGCUUUUGCCUGGGGUUUGGAUGCUGUGCAUGCUUCUCUAGAGUGAGAGAGACGAGAAUCACAGACUUGCGGUCAGUGCUUUUAUUUUUAGCCCCACUUCUCCCUCCAGCCCUUCAUUGUACCUGGGUUUUCCAAGUCCCAAGGAGCUCUGAGGUUUGGCAGGGUGGAUGAGCUCCCUCUUGGCGUUGUGUUGCCCUCAGCAAGCAUUCCAAGCUGUUACUUCCUCCAGCCAACUUUCUCAGUUACCACUUCAUCCAUUUUCCAUCUUCUAGAAAUUUGUCCCCCUUAUCCCAUCAUUGUUAUUUAUACAUUUUAGACCAUUUUAAUCCACGAUCAUUUAGGGGAAGCUAAACCAUUUAAAAAAUGUUGAUAUCAUUUGAUACAGUAGUACCCCUUUUAGAAAGCUGUCCUAAAGAUGAAUACAGUGAUUUAUAUACUUGUCCAUGUUGUUAUUUUACAAAAAAAUGGAAACAACCCAAGUGACUAACAGUAAGGGAAUGAUUAAAUUACGAUAUGAUGAAUAUUACGCAACCACUAAAAAUAAUUUAAGGGAUCUUUAGUGAUAUAAAAUGUUCACAAUAAUAUUAAAUGAAAAAUGCAAAGUACAAAAUUAAAUAAUGUGUAGAGAGAGCCCAGUUUUAUUAAAUCCACCUGCAUAGAAAAGACUGGAAGGACAUAAGUACAUUGGGUGUUAACAGCGGUUAAGUUUUCCUGUGCUAUCUACAUUUUCUCCAAUGAGCCUGAAUUACUUUUAUAAUCAGGAGGGGAAAAGUUAAUAAAAGAGAAAGAUCAUGGCUUGUUCAGAGUGGUGAGAUGUUGUGGAGUGUGGAAUGAGUAGUGAGGGGCAGCAGAAUAAGAGUCUGGGGAAACGAGGUGCCCAGUUACCAAGGACCUAACACCCCACUUAGGAGUUCAGCAGGGGAAUAUGUGUAACCCCAGUGUUUGUGACAUACAGUUGUGGCUGGACUGUGGAAGCCAAGCUGGUGAGAGGAGAAAGGAAUCCUAGAGACCACACAGAUAGCUUUUGUUAGAGUCCAGGAGAGACUAUGGGAUUCUGACCCAGGCAGUGGCAGGGAGCCACGGGAGAAGGGACUGAUGAAAUGAGCAGACCUUAAAGGGCAUGGAAGAUGGAGCAGCAGAUUCCCAAGCCAGAAAUGUGGGCCUCCACACCCUGGUGAGACAUUACCUGUGACAAAUGGAGCCUGGCCCAGGCCUGAGAGGCCCUGGUUUCCUUGUGCUUCAAUGGGGCCUUCCUGUGUUCACAGUGGCUCACACCUCUGUGGUCUUGGGAGGAGGGUGGGGGGAGACAACCUAACCCCAGCAGGCUACUGGGCUACCCAAGUGCCCCUCCUGGCCAAUAGCAAGGUUGUAACCACUCCAUUAGUUGAAGGGUUCCUGUGUGCUGGCACAGUGCUAAAUGCCAGAUGUCCUUUAUCUCAUUUAAUCCUCACCUGAGGAGGGAGCUGCUUUUAUCCCCAUUUUCAAAGCCAGUUGUCACAGUUGGGAUUAGAAUAACUCUGAGGCCAAAGCUGUGCUCCUUUCUCCCAGGCUGCUUUCUCAGUGUGCCUCCGGGGACUCCUCUCCUCAUCUGCAAAUUCUCUGUUAGGCUGGAAGAACGAUGCUUGCCUGUGCUAAAAAGUGCAGUGGCUGGAAAGCAAACAGUGAAGAGUAAGUCUCCCUCCCAGCCCAGAGUGCCCCAGGAAGGAGUACCCCAGAGACAACUGUUGGAAAUUUCUCAAGGAUCCUUCCAGAGAUGGUCCAUUCAUUUACAAUCGUAUGUAUCCCCCUUUAAACACACACAUACACACUCAUACAUGAGCUUAGGAUACGCACUGUCUACGCCCUGCUUGUUUCACUUAGUGUGUCUUGCAGAUGGUUCUUCAUUAGCCUGUAAGAGCUACCUCAUUGUUUUUUUCACUGUUGUAAUAUCCCAUUGUAUGGAUGUACCCUGAUGCAUGUAGUGAGUGUCCUGUUGGUGGGGUUCUUUUCUCUGUUACCGCAAACAAUCCUUUGCUGAAUAUCCCGGCACACAGUCCUUGGUAUGUGUGCAACCUUGCAGAAUAAAUUGAUAAAUCAGAGGGCAGGUGCAUUUGAAAGAAACUGUAAAUUUGGUCCUAGAAUGUGUAUGAAAAGGCCCAUUUACCUGAAUCCUCUAUAAGAAUAUUUGUUUUCUGAUCUGAGAAAUGAAAAUCUCUCAUAUUUUAAUUUGUGUUCAGUUAUGAGUGAAACUGGAUAUCGAGUCCUGUGUUUAAAAGCCGUGUGUAUCUUUUUUUCUGCGAAUUGCUUGUGUUCUUUAGCAGAUUUUCUGUUGGAGUGGUGAUCCUUUUAAAAAUUGAUUUGUGUAAACUCUAGUAAAGAAACUACCUUCUUACCUGCCAUAUGUGUUGCAAGUAUUUUCCCCAAUUUAUAGUCCUUUUACUUUAAUUUUUGCUCUUUGGAUAUUUACGAUUUAAUGUCAAAUCAAAGGCUUCCCCUCUUCAAUAUUAUACAUUUCUCCCAUGAUUUCGUCUAGUCUUUUGAGAUAGGUUCAUUUGAAAUUCAUUUUGGAGUAAGGACCAGUUGGGUCCUGGCCCGGCCGCCCGCCUGCCCCUUCUCCGGCGUCCAGCAGGAGGAACAGAGCAGGAGAACCACAAUGAAGAAGACACCGCCCGGCUUCCUAGAGCUGCCGUGCGAGAGUCUGCAGCUGGGUUCUUCUGCCGCCCGGACCGGUUGACUGAGCAGCGCCUGGGCGCCGAGGGUUUGGGGUCUACGCUCCACGACCGACCGGACCGGCGGCAGCACCGCCGCCUCGCGCUCUGCCAGCUUCACAGGGUGGUGUGGAUCAAAGGAGAGUGGAGCAGGACAGGGCUGUAAGCUGAUCAGUCUUGUGGUAUUGCUGUGAUCAUUAACCAGGCUGAGCUCCUCAUCCAAGAAGAGAAGGUAUGCUCUUUGGGAGGGAUGCUUCUGCAAGCUGUAUGGGGCCAGCAUCCCCUCCGGUAGAUGACUCUUCGGUAUAUGCCUUUUUUGCCUUCCAGCUCCAGACCUUCCCAGAAAGUUUGCCUUGGACUUAUUAUGGGCUGUCCCCACUGCCCACCAGUGAAGGGAAUGGGAGAAGGUAGGGCCAGCACUUUGACCAUUUUUAGCUUCCUCUCCCAAGGCCAGCUGUGGACUUUUUCUCCAACAUUUCUUUCCAGAUUUCAGAUCCAGCCUGGUGACAACAGCAUGAGAUCUGGGAUGAGAAACCCACCCUGAGAGUAGGGCCAGAGGCUCCUCUGACUUCAGCCCUCCAAGGCUACCUGCUGCCUGGGACCCACCUGGUUCCUGUCCUGGGGGCCACUGCUGGGGAAGUGCUGCUGGAGCUGAAGCAAGGGGCCUCAGCCAGGCUGGAUAUUGAGGCCAAAGUUGAAAAGGAGGGUGUGAUUCUGGAGCAAACAAAUCUGAAAGGAGACGUCUCUGAAAGACUCCAGGGCAAGAUUCCAGAGGGCUAUGUUUUCGGGGAAGCCAGAGAAGCGGGGAGCAGGAGAGCUGAGCAUUCUGAACAGCCUGCAGACAAGAAGGUGAGGAGAGACAAGCCAAGCUCCCACCAGGUCCCAGUAAAAGAGAAGAAACACCUCCCAGGAGAGAGGCCAGGAUCAUGGAAUGCACAGGAGGUGCCUGCCACAGCGCCAGCCUGGUGGCCCCCAGCAAAACUCUGUACAGUUGUACUGAGUGUGGCAAGGCCUUCGGCCAGAGCUCCACUCUCAUUGUGCACCAGAGAAUCCACACACGGGAGAAGCCAUACAGGUGCGGGGAGUGUGGAAAGGCCUUCACACACAGCUCCCACCUGAUCUGACAUCAGAGGUUGCACACAGGGCAGAAGCCCUACAUUGUGGCAUGUGCGGCAAGGCCUUCAGCCAGAGCUCAAGCCUCAUCGUGCACCAGGGUGUGCACACAGGUGAGAAGUCAUCCGUGAGCCCUGAAUGCAGCAAGACCUUCAGCCGAAGCUCUCACCUCCUGGUGCAUCGGUGGAGCCACACCAGCAAGAGGCCCUAUGAGUGCCAUGAGUGUGGCAAGGCCUUAACCGGCAGCUCCUACCUCCUGGGGCACCAGCACAUCCACACGGGUGAGAAGCCCUAUCGCUGCACAGUGUGGGAAAGCCUUUGGCCAGAGCUCCCACCUUAUCUUUCAUAAGCCCACUCCUGCCCAGAGGAAACACCAGCCAGCCUCCCUGGUCAGAGCCCAGUGUUGAUGGGGUCAAGGUUUCAGGUCUGACACUGGAUCCAACCAAGAGGAAGCUGAGCCCUUAUCAUCAAUCCAUCUCUGUGCCAGGUGCUGCCAAAUAAGGCUCAGGUGCUGCCAAAUAAGGCUAAGGCAGGUUCCUGUGAGGGCCUCCAUGGUCCUCAGAAACAAGACGCAUACACAUAAACAGAAAUGACUGAAGGACCCUAGAAGACAAAACAUGAUAAAAUGCUGAGGUGUGCGCAGAGAAAGAAAGAUCCACGUGGAGGGGGGCAUUGAUGCGGCCUCAUGGGCUGGCUCUGGGAGAACAGGUUGGCACUGGGUUGAUGGGGAAAAACCCAGCGAGGGGACCAGAAUAAGCAAAGGCCCAGGAAUGAGUCUGAGUGGGCCUCAGUGAGGUGGAUAUGGGUCAGUGGGAGUGGCAAGCCUGAGAUGCAAGUGGGGAGGUGGGAAGACUCCCCAGGUCAAAAGCCCUGAUGUGUGGGUGCUGCAAACCAAAGCCAAGGUCUUUCCCUUAGGACUCGGCUUCCCAUGCCAGUGUGACUCUGGGCGACCCACGAGGACUCUGAGCAUCGCCUUCCUCAGCUGUCCAAUGCAGGAGUUGGACCUGAGGGGCUUUGAGCUACCUUCUCACUCACCUGUGGUUUCAGGAGCUACAAAGCCUUUGUCAGAAUGGGGAGUGACAGAAGGGAGAGGGAGGUAUGGGGAGGAUGAAACUAGUGGUGUUUCAGGGUCGGCAGAUAAGAAAGGAGACAGGGAGACUCCAUGGGAGGCAGCCCCGCAACGUGUUACUUUUGAUUAAGCUAGGGUGAGAUGAAUUUCUGGCAACUGCCACCCGACCAGCCCUGACUUGCCUCCUCCCCUUGUACCUCCCACUUCACUCUCCCUGUCUCCCCACUGCUCCACCUGUGGCCCACAUCCAGGUGGACACAGCUGCCGUAGUCACUUCCCUGGCCACUGUCUCAAUGUAGGCCAAGGUAUCGUGGUCUUCUCACCACUUAGCUCUGCUUUGUCCUUGUAUCUGAAGCCAAACUCUUCUUUCUACUCCACUUUUGUCCAAGUGAAAAAUUAACUUCCCCUCAUUUUCACACCUGUAGUCCUUACCCAGGUCUUUGUCCAAGGCAACUGGCAGUUUUACACAGAUGCCAAGUCUCAUGCCAACCAGAGCCAAGGAGUUACACAGCCCGUUUCAGAUGCUUGUUGUGUGAGCACACAGAAUUAGCAGUGGCUCUGAGGAAUGCCUGGGUUGGUGUGCUCACCCUAUGCCUCCACUGAGUAAAGACACCUCUCUAACAAGGGGAGGCACCCUGCUUCUUGCCUGAAGAUGUAACGGGGAAGUAUUUAGCAAGAAAGGUUUUUCUCCUACUUUGGAUGGCCCCUAAAAUCCCAGCUGCCUGUGAAAUGCCAAGCAGCCUGAGCCAACAGUCAAGCUCGCAACUGCAGUUCAUCCCAGGCCUUCCCUGUCGUCAGAAGUCAGGCCGGUGACUGAUCCCAGCGCGCCUGUCUUGCUGACUAGUGACUGAAAGGUGCAACAUGCCUUAUGCUGGAGUUGACCUGGAAGUAAAUAGCCAGAGAUAUUUUGGGAGUCAACCUUCUAGUUUUGUAAAAUCUCUAAAACUGACCCUCUGGGAUUUGGACUGUGGAUCCAUACCUACAGAGGACCAGCUCCUGAGUUAUCUGGAAGGCUGAUGCUGAACUAAAGGGCAACAACCAGCAUUACUAUACAUACUGAUGUGUACUGAUUUCCUACUGUCUUAUUUUUCCUUUAGUCUGAAGGAAUAAAUCUCCUCUUGUAUGAGCGGCAGAUGGUUGAGAGGAUUACUUUUUA